AUGACUGUACUUGAACAGGAUCUGUUCUCUAGGAUCGUACCUCUGAAUUCUUGAGUUCAAAGGAGACAGGACCAAAAAUCUGGUGGAUGAACCGUGGCCAUUUGACCAGAGCGUGAUUGGUGGUUCUGUCGUUUAGUUAACUAAUCCACAUGUCCGCAGAGGAUGGCAGAUUCAAUCUCCCCUCCAAUCUUUUUUGCAAUUUUGCUUAUCUUUACUUGAACAGAUU